CCUACGGGUGGCAGCAGUGAGGAAUAUUGGUCAAUGGCCGUAAGGCUGAACCAGCCAAGUCGCGUGCAGGAUGACGGCCCUACGGGUUGUAAACUUCUUUUGUCCGGGAGCAAAGUGCGCCACGUGUGGUUUAUUGAGAGUACCCGAAGAAAAAGCAUCGGCUAAAUCCGUGCCAGCAGCCGCGGUAAUACGGAGGAUGCGAGCGUUAUCCGGAUUUAUUGGGUUUAAAGGGUGCGUAGGCGGAUUGUCAAGUCAGCGGUCAAAUUGCGGGGCUCAACCCUGUCAUGCCGUGGAAACUGGUUCCCUUGAGUGCGCGAGAAGUAUGCGGAAUGCGUGGUGUAGCGGUGAAAUGCAUAGAUAUCACGCAGAACUCCGAUUGCGAAGGCAGCAUACCGGCGCGCAACUGACGCUGAGGCACGAAGGCGUGGGUAUCGAACAGGAUUAGAUACCCGGGUAGUC
rnacentral:rRNA from 1 species